rnacentral:tRNA from 1 species
GAAGGUAUAGCUCAGUGGUAGAGUGCAUACUUAGCAGGCAUGUGGUCUUGGGUUCAAUCCCCAGUAUCUCCA